AAAAAAUAAAGUUUGAAGCCUCUAAUCAUACUGCUCGGCCGGUUCAACAUGAUAAAGUAGUGAUCCUGUCACACUCGUGAAAAGGAGAUUUCCAUGAACGUAGCCCUGUGCAGUGAUCCUGUCAUUCACGCUACCACAACAAAAAAAAAACACUACUUAAUUAUUUUCCACGCGCCACUUAAAAUUAAAAAUGAGUAACUGGAAAAAAAUAAAAAAUAAAAACAAUUAAACCAAUUAAAAUAUUUAAAAAAAUAUUUGGUUCGGUUUGAUUUUGAUUUCAUAAGUCUGAAACUAAAAAACUUUAGCCGAACCGAACGAGUUUAGUUAAAAAUAAACCAAACUGAAUUGAAAAAACCAAACUAAAUCGAAACCCAUCAGAAAGUAAAAAAAGCCCAAAAACAAUAUAGUUUUUUAUUUUUAAUAUAAAAUAACCAAAUCAAACUGAACCGAACAUAAUCAAAAUCGGUCGGUUGAGUUUUGGUUUUUGAUAUAAAAUAAUCGAAUUGAACCAAACUGAAACCGAUCGGUUGGAACCGAUUUCGGUUUUAUUUUUUGUAUUUUAUAAAAUUUCGGUUUGGUUGUUUUUAUAAGUAAACACCGGACCGAAAUGAAAAUGAUGACCCCUAACUUAAAUGGAAACAACAAUAAAGUUGAAAAAAAUGGGCAAAACUGUUUUCGCCCCUAUAAGUUUGGAGAUGUUUUAUUUCGAUCCCUGUGGUUUAAAUGUUUUCAAAAUUUCAAAUUGUUUUGAUAUAUUAGCUAUUUACACCAUACGUGAAACAAUAUCCAGUAAAUAUGAUUAAAAACUUAAGAUUUUGAAAGAAAUAGUUUAAAAAUGGGACCCAUUAUUAUUUUUAUUUUCCAUUUAGCUUUAUUAUUUUUAUAAUUAUGCAUUUAACACCCAAUAACUAAGAAAUUCCUAUUUGAAUUCAAAACACUCAAUAUAAGGUUGUAGGGUCUCCAGCUCAAGAAUUCAAAAUUAAGUUGCAACAAAAAGCUGGUAAUUGAAAUUUAUCUUUUUUUUUAUUAUUAUUAACAUGAUGUUCUAAUUGGUUUAUAUGUAUUUCGACUAAUUUUAUGAGUCUUGAAAUUAAUGAUCAUGUAAGCCUUCAAUGAUCCUAAAAAAACUCAAAUUCGUGACCAUUGAAAAACAAUAAUUGAAGUUUAUCUUCAUUCUAAAAUAAAAUGUGCAGUAAAAAUUUAUAUAAAAUAUUUGAAACUUCAUUUACAAUAACUAUCAAAUCUUUUAAAAAAAAUUAUCAAGAAAUUAUUGAUUUCUUAAUUUUUCUAUAAAUUUUACAAAUCCAUAUUGAUUUUGUAUGAUUGCUGUCUUUUGAGUGGAAAAUCAAUUUAUAAUAGUAAAAUAACCAUAAAUUCAUAAAUAAAUACAAAAUAAAAAAUAUAUUUUAUUAUUGAGAUUCAUAUAUCAUGAUAUAAAAAUAUUUUAAUUUUAUCCAUACAUAUACAUGUAUGUGCGCCUACAUUAUAGUUGAAACAAGAUGAUUUUUAUAGUAUUAAAUUAUAAUUGAAAACUAUAUAUAUAAUGGAAAAAUUAUUCCUAAUUAUUAUUUUAAUGUGUGAUUUAUUAUUAAGAUUUAAUCUCUAAACAAUAUUUUUUAUAUAAUUUUAUCAGCUAAGCGUGCUUUUAACCAAACAAUAUGAAAGCAUUUUUAAUUAGAAAACAUAUGCUAACCAGUUAUUUUUUUUUCUGGACAUGAUCAUAGACCCAUAAUCUACCUAUCAGCCAAACACAUAUUAAACACGGGUGUUAAAUUGAGAAUUUAUAAAAACAUAUUCCUAUAUUAUAAAAUGUGAGCUAUAGGAUUCGAAAUAGAUUACAAGGGAAAUCCAAUAUCUGAAUAUUCUUACAAAGAAUUUCCACUUCCAACAAUUACCUGAGUUUUUUUAAAAAAAAUUAUUUACACAAUCAAACAAUCCAUCCAAACGGACUCAAGCUUGAGCGUUUGACUAUGUGUUUGCGAUAACUUUUUUAUUUAACCGUGAUUUCAUCUUAUUUUGUUACAAAACAAAACACAAUUUUCAUGCAUGGACCCUACUAAUAAAUGAGUUUUGAACUCAGUUUUUGAGAAUCUAUUUCUACAUGCUUUUGCUACGUUUCUCCUCUGUUUUUCAUUAAGCUGUGUUUUAUUAUUGUUAAUUUGCUACCCAAACCAAAAUAACAAAAAAUUAAUACUGGGUAGUUUUUGUAUAAGUUAAAAAGUUGCCAAGAUCAAAGUUUUUAUAUCUGUAAAUUAUUUAUAUAUAUAUAUAUAUAUAUAUAUUAAUUCUCACCAAUUAUUUAUAUAAUUUAAUCCUUAUCUUGAUUUUGUUCUUAAGAAUUUUUAAUAAUUUUUUUAAUUGAUGUGGUUUUAUAUUCACAAUUCCAUUAAAACUAGAGGUCUUCGUAUAUGGAUUAUAUUUGUGAUGGCAUUGCAGUAAGUUUAAUGGAAUAAUAAAAUCGGUGUUGUAGUUUGCAUGAUUGUUUUUUAAAAUGUAUUAAUAAUAAAAUGCACAUUAAUAUAAUUGCAAAAUAAAAAAUUAAUGCAUGUACUUUUAGAUCAUUUUAUUACCAACAUCAAUUUCAACCAUUAUUUUAACCAAACAUUCUGGACAUGUUUUUUGUUAAACAAUAACUUUAACCAUAAUUUUAACCAAACACAUAUUUUAAUCAAAACAACCACAACUAAAAGUGAUUUUUCUAAACUUACUUUUUUCAUACCACAAUCACAAAAGCUACCGCAAUAUUAAACACACUUAAUUAUUAUCCCAACAAAUUUUUUUCUUAAAAUCCUAAAAAAUCACAAUAAAUUAAUCAAAAUAGAUUUAAGAAAUUUUUUCACUAACAGAUCAGAUCCAAUAAAAAUUACACCCCUGUUAUUUUUUUAAAAAUAUAAAUGAAAAAAUAAUAAUUCAAAUAACCUCAAUUUUUUAGUAUCGCACGAUUUUUACAAAAGAAUUUCAAAGUGAUUAGUGAAGUUAAAUCUAUCAGGGUAUAAAUCACAUAUAAGUUAGUGUUUGCGGGGGUGAGAAAAAAACUGAACAACCAAUUAAAUUAAGAAAAUCAAAAGAAUCAAAUGAAAUAAUUUAAAAACCCCAAAAAAAAUCAAUUUGGUUCAGUUUUUAUUUUAAAAUUUUAAAAUUGAUUAAAAAAGAACGAACAAAACUAGUUUAACUAAUAUUUAUGUUCACCUUCUCCGUGCAUCAACAGAUACAAUCCCAUCACUUAGUCCCUGCAAAUAAAGCUAAGAUAACAACGACAGCCACCCAUACCAGCAAAUCCUCUAACAGAACCACCAUACCAGUCUUUUGGCCAGACAACAACGCCUUCAACCUUGGCAACUAGACAUCCAUGCCAACACGCUAUCUCCCUCAACUAGCUAUGGUAGUUUUGACUUCUGUUACAGUAACAACAAAAUAGUAAACGGG
rnacentral:lncRNA from 1 species